AAAGCGGACAAUAUCUACUAGCAGGGCUUGGACUUGGGCUUGGGCGGUUACAAAGUUGAGAUUUGCCGGUUUCCAAUUCAUCGGCAUUUACCUGUUUAUUUUAAGUUUGUUCCAGGCUCUUCUUCUCAGCUACUUCAGUCCUAAUUGUUCUAUUGAAACUUCUAACAUGAUCACUGGAUAACAUUUAUUCUUGAUGGGUUUCAUUUUUGUUCAAUU